UGACUGACAAUAUUGUCCAUUACAGCACACAUUUAUUUUAACGACUGCUCUGUUCUGUAUGUUUUACAGGAGCUGUAGUGAUGUCGUUACCAAAGGUGCUAGCAGUACUACUGUAUGUUGGUAAACUUCCUCUGACUGUCCUGUUCACCAGCAACCCUAACACUACACUACAAAGUACACAGAAACACAAGUCCAACAUCACCCUGCACUGCGAGGACAUCUGUUCCUCAGAUCAAUGCUUGUUUCAAGCACCACCUGAAGUCCUCACACAUCUGUAUGACAGCAACUGUGAGCAGGCCUGGUCCUUCCAGGAUGGAUAUCUCCUGGCUGAUGGAAGCUCUACAGCACAAAACAGAACCCUGCACCCAUUAGUCUUUGCUGUGACACCCACCAGUGUGACCACCAGAUACUGUAUCAGUGGGCUUCAGUAUGUGAUGACCUGUCACGACUCUGAGGUACAGUCAUUUCCUCUAUUAGAGCUUAAAUCGAUUCUGCAGUCCUGUGCUUCACUUUUCUGCCUUUAGGAUCGUAAAACCUUUGUCUGUUAAUCAUCAUGCUGUCAGCAUCCGCACUCACUCUCGCCCCAGUCCUAUCCCAGUGUGGAUUUAUUAGGAUAUACUAAUGGAAAGGGAAGUAACCUGAUAAGUGAUAAAGCAGUAAUGUUGCAAAAUGAACUAUUUACAUAACCCCUGCAGCAGACCCACCCCAUAUAAUAUAAUAUAAUAUAUAUAUCUCAACUCAACUUUAUUUAUAGAGCAUUUUAAAAACAACAACAGCCGCAACAAAGUGUCGUACAUUUUUGUGCUGCAAAUUAUUUCAAUGCCUCCCAAGUUUAAUAUAUGCUUUUUUUUUAAGUUAUUUAAAUCAUUAAUGUUUAAACAAUGUAAUGGAGGUGAAGUGUAACAUUUCUCGGGUGUAUUAUAUAGUACCAACUAUUGUAAAAGAACAAAACUAAAACUGGUUUCCUGAAAAUAUCUGACUAAUGCAUUUUAGAUAUAACAAAUAAUAAAAUAAAUACAUAUUAUUAUUAUUAUUAUUAU
rnacentral:lncRNA from 1 species